GGUUUGAAGUUGGUUGGUUUCUGCUAACCACAGCUAAGCCAUAGCUAAGCUUGGUCUAGGGAGUGCAUCUUCUCCUGCUUCCCUGCUUCAUGUCACACAGUUAACUUGAUACAUGCAUGGAGCUUCUACCCACACAAUGGCUCCAACAGUGACUUCAGUGCAACUCUUCCCUUCGUGCCUGUUGAACUACCCUCAGCAUUGAAGUCAAAGAGAAAGUCUUCACAUAAAUGGCCUCAAUGGAUCAAGUCCUAGUGCAGAGAGUUGGCAUAACAGUUCAGAGAGGAGCACUUUUCAUAUGUUCUUUUUGCAUUCAGUGAACAUCCAUGGGAGGUGUAGCAUUACAGGAACAGGUUGUGUCCUUGACUUGUACAUGUUCACUGAAAGACAGGGAUAAUGGGAACUAUAGAAACUGUCAUCCUUGUCCAUGGGCCAUGUUUGUUGGGGCCAGUGGGAGUUCGAAUCCAACAACAUCUGGAGGGCCAAAGAUUAUUCACCUCUCCUCUAAAUGUUUUUGUGUUGCGACUUUGCUAAUCUUAAUGGCCUGCACUCUCUUUCUUUUCCUGGUUCAUUGUGAUUUCACUUUUUCAACCUUCUUUUUCAAAAUGUGUCUUUCUGCUCAUUAAGGAGCCAAAUUGCUGGGAGGCUGCCUUGCUUAAAGGCAUUGUCUGUCCAUCCAUCUGACGGAAUUGAUAAAUAGAUCCAAGAAUUGUGGGUCGUAACUGAAGCCGUUUGAUGCUUUGUUAUUUCAGGGUUGAUGUGCUAAGAUGUAUCGAUUUCAACAAAGUUUAACAACAUUCAGUUACAACUAGCAAUCACACAUGCUUGCUUUGCCUCAGCUGUCUUAAAUCCCAGUCUUCACCCUCCAACUGCUGGCUGCUAAACCUAGUGCUUAGUGAGACAGAGAGCUCUGCUUCAUAGAUCUGUGAUAGAAAAAAAAAUCAGGGCUCCAGCUUUCAAGAAUAAUAGCUCUUUAAUUCCAUGAUAAAAUUGACUAAGGGACUUGGAGCUUUGGACGGUUUUACACAAAGCAUGUUCAUCGUUAAUCAAUGUAGAAUUGCAUUUGUAGUUUGCAUGGGAGAUUCAGCCAGUGCAAAUGGGUCUUCCAUGCUGAAUGACAUAAACUUAUACAUAAUACUUCUAAAUGGAAGUUGUGAGAUGGAAACUAUACACCUGUUCAACUGUGAGUACUCAGUAAUCAGAAGAUGGAAGACCUACAGUACAAUUCUGUGUAAUUCUACUUAGAAGCAAAUCCUAUAAUGUCCAGUGGGACUUACCUAAGAUUAAGUGUCACAUACCAGGUUCACUUUUGCUUCUGUGUGGGCUUCAAAAAGUGACAGAGCCUUUGGAUUUGGAUAUGGAAGACCAGAAUCAGACUGGGGAUUGAGCUAAGAGCUAAAAACGAAGCAGCAAUUCAUGCCCUAUAGUAGGGCUUCGUUCAUUGGGACGGGACAGGAUAAGUUGGUGGCAAGAUCUGGGUAGUUCUUGCCUACCCAGAUUGCUCAUAUUGUAAAGAUAGUUCGUGACACUGAAAAGGCUAGAUGCACUUGAAUUAGCAGAGUUAUACUCUACCUGACCCCCUGUAGAAGAAUACCACAGUAAAAUAAUGAGUAUCGGAAGCUUACUAUGUUUGGUAAGAAAAAUAUGAAACCGGAAAUGGAGUAAUGUAAGUAGCAACUGGUUUUAUAUUUGGUGUCCUUCUCUUAUGACUCUUCCCUUUUCUUCUGGCCAUGUAAAUACCAUGAUAUACAGCUGGGACCGCCAACCUUUUGGGGCCAAUGGGCACACUUGGAAUGUUGAAGAGGUGCCAUGGGUGCUAGUAGCAAAAUGGCUGCUGUUAGGGUGUGUGUGUGGUAUAAAGCAAAAUGGCUGCCAUGGGGAAGUGUAUGAGAAUCCGAGACGGUGAAAACAAGAACUGAGCAGGAACAGCAGUCUCUCAUACAUAGUUGAUUUUUGAGGGAAUAUUUACUGAGAGCUUGUUGUGGGUGCCAUAGGAAGCGCUGGCAGGCAUAUUGGUGCCCACAUGUACUGUGCUGAGGAACCCUGCACUGCAGUAAUCAAAAUGACUCCUGUUUAACAACAGCUGUAAUACAUGAAUAUUCGCUCUCUCAGUGUGUAUAUUAGAAUGCAGUUACUUAACUCAUAUUGAACAGUGUUCAUAUUUAUGAUAAUCCACCUUAAAUGCUUUCUCUUUUCCAUCCAGAAUGUGAUUAUUAAUGAGUGAAACUGCAGUGUGUGACUCUAUAAAAACAGAUAAAAAGAGGCCUACCUACUGUGCCCAUCUCUGGAGCCUGAUGAAACUACAAACAGUAAACACAAGCAGCUCAUAAUCUUAAUCAGUAUAGUUGAAGGCACUGAUUGCUCAUGUGUAAAAGCUCAUCAAGCGUAAAGAAACAGAACAGAGAGUUAAUAGAAACAGCCUGAUGUACAAUGCCAACCCCUAGUUAUUUCAUUCUGCUUCCAGAAGCAACCUGCAAAAUUAUAGCAGUAUGUCUAAUUACUGCCUGUCAGAGCAGCAGGCGUCCAACAGGAGAGGAAUUAAUUGAUAUUACUCUAAGGGAUUUUCCAGACGAUGUUUUUUUAUUGUGCAAUAAAUGCACAGUUGUUCAGUUGUGGGGGGAUCCAGAUGUCUUUCCGCGUGUAGUACGACUUCUGUGGAGAAACGGCAUUACCAAACAGUGUGCCUUUAUUAGGGGGAGAAUGGGAUGUUAACCUAAAUGCAUGCGGAGGGUGGGGUGCUGGAAGAAAAGCUGUAGCUCAGUGGCAGAGCACAUGAUAAAGUCAUAAUAAAGUCCCAGGUUAAAUCUCUGGCAUUUCCAGGUAAGGCUCAGUUUUACACCAUGGAGAACUACUGCCAGCCAAUGUAGACAAGUGAUUAGGAACUUGUGGCCCUUCAAAUGUUGCUGAACUACAUCUCCCAUCAGCCCUGACUGUUGGCCAAGCUGACUGGGGUGGAUAGGAGCUGAAAUACCGCAACACAUGGAGGACCACAGGUUCCCUGUUGCGUAGGCUGUACUUAGCUUGAUGAACCAAUGGUAUUUUUCUAGGUUCCUCGCUUCAUGAGUGUCCCAAACAUCUAUUGGCUAGUGACAUACUGAUGACUCUUCCUUCUAUGCCACUUUAUGAACUAAUUUUAAAAGGGGGUAGUUUGGUUUUUUUUAAUGGUUUUAUGCAGUCUAUAAUCUGAACCAUGGGUAGGCAAACUAAGGCCCGGGGACUGGAUCUGGCCAAAUCGCCUUCUAAAUAAGGGCCCCUGAUGGUCUGGGAAUCAGUGUGUUUUUACAUGAGUAGAAUGUGUCCUUUUAUUUAAAAUGCAUCUCUGGGUUAUUUGUGGGGCAUAGGAAUUCAUUCAUUCCCUCCCCCCCAAAAAAAUAUAGUCUGGCCCCCCACAAGGUCUGAGGGACAGUGGACCAGCCCCCUGCUGAAAAAGUUUGCUGACCUCUUAUCUGAGCACAUACAGACAUACAUUUUGGCAAGGAAACAUUCCUGCAUCUUUUAGAGAAAAUAAAUGUGAACCUGUAAGAAAUGGCUGCAGUUUGAACCUAAGGACCUUGCCUUCUGGCAUAAAGAACUUCAUAUGCGACUGUAUACAGCAUCAAAGUUGUGUACAACAUGUAGCUGGGAUUCUCCCACACAACCUCCUAAAUAACAGUGGAUUUAGAAUUUGGGAUGCUCUGGUUUUGCACAAACUUAUUCAGGAAGUGCAAUAAAAGGGAAUCCAAAUAUAUAUUUUUAAAGGAAGAUACUAUAGUGUCAUGGUUUCCAUUCAUUUUCUGUAGAACCUCUUCAAGCUGAAUACUGAUUCUUUUUUCUUUCUUUUUGAAAGGUGGGUGUGGAAAUGAUGGGGCUCAAAACUAGAGCUACCUGGUGGUAGGAAAUGGCCACUGACAACAGAAUCAACAACGAAAAUCCAAGGCCUAUUUGUAUGUUCAGCUGUAGAAUUUACACACACACACACACACACACACACACACACACACACACAGUAGGGUAAUUAAGUAAAUUGUCAGGACUAGAAUUAUUCUGAAAUAAUUGCACCUCAGCUGUCAAAAGAAUAAACUGCGUUCCAUACUGCCACUGCACAGUUUGAAUGGUACUGGCAGUAUUUAUGUUGACGAUGUUGUUGUUGCUGCUAUUGUUGUUAGCUUAAAUUUAUAUCUUUCUCCCGGGUAACAACAAUUUGAAAACUAAAGUUUUAAAAGUAGAACAAUUUACAGUCAAACACAGUCUAAAACAAGAGGUGACAGCAAUUAUCAAGAUACAGGUAUACGCUAACAAAAUUACAGCAGAAGCUAUCAAAACAGAAGCAGGUAUGUCCAACAGAAUACCUCUUAUCAGUCUCUACUAAAGUCCUGGCAGAAUAAAAAUGUUUUGGCAACAAAAAAUGGGCAGAUGAUGCCAGUCAUACUUCAGAAAGGAGGGAGUUGCGUUGCUGGGGUGCUGUCAUGGGAAAAGCCCCUUUUCAGGUUAUCACGCAGCUAUUGUUCUUUGACUGCCUUCAAGGGUAGCCCCACAUAAAGUGCAGGAAAAUGAUCUGUUCUGGAGGUUACCAAGGCAUGGACAAAUGUGGCCAGACAUAGGUUUUCUGGGUUUAGUCUUGAACAUAUAGAACCAGCAGAAAAAAGGAUAUUCAACUGAACUUUGAACUAAGCCCUGAAUUCUAUUUCAAAAAUUACAUGAAGCUUGGUAAAUACCAACAAACUCUCCCCUGCCAUCAUUGAAUAAACUACUCCUCCUGCCUCAGUUGAGCUCAUUUGGAAAAAGUGAAUCAUAGGCUUAAAUGUUCCAUUGAAAUCAAUGGGAGUUAAGAGUGCUGAACUUUGGCCAAGCCAUAUAAUGCACCCUUGUGUUCCAGUUGUGCAGCAUAUAUCUCCUGUGUAACAGAGCCAGUGUGAUGUAAACUGUGCUGGACUUCAAAUGGGACUCCUUAGGUUUUAUCCCCACUCAGUCACAAUGCCUAGUUUUGUUGGGGAAAUGUGCCAUGUGUACUACUCUCAGCUCCUAAGAUUCGAUUGAUUUGAUUUAUUGUAUUACUAUUCUGCUUUUCACUCACAAGAUUUGCAAAGCGGCUUGCAAACAAUAAAUAACCACAACAUAAUAGAGCAUCACAAAUGCAACGUAAAUUAUAUAGCAUAAUUAACAAAUCACCAGUGAAACAAUUGCAAAUUGUCAGUAAAACAAUUACAGUGGACACUCGGGUUGCGAACGUGAUCCGUGCGGGAAGCACGUCUGCAACCCACAGCAUCCGCAAGCCACAGUGCCGCAUCUGCGCACCCGCGGGUUGCGAUUCGGUGCUUCGGCACAUGCGCUGAAACCCAUAAGUAACCCGUUCCGGUACUUCUGGGUUCGGCGCGGUGCGCCACCCGAAAUCACACAACCCAAAGCGUCUGUAACCCGAGGUAUGACUGUACAAUCUGUCAAACACUAUU